AUUGAACGCUGGCGGCAGGCUUAACACAUGCAAGUCGAACGAGUGGCGGACGGGUGAGUAAUGCUUGGGAAUCUAGCUUAUGGAGGGGGAUAACUACGGGAAACUGUAGCUAAUACCGCGUAACUAAGGAUGAGCCCAAGUGGGAUUAGGUAGUUGGUGCGGUAAAGGGUCACCAAGCCGACGAACUCUAGCUGGACUGAGAGGCUGACUAGCCACCCUGGGACUGAGACACGGCCCGGACUCCUACGGGAGGCAGCAGUGGGGAAUAUUGGGCAAUGGGGGCAACCUGACGCAGCCGUGCCGCAUGAAUGAAGAAGGCCUUCGGGUUGUGAAGUUCUUACGGUAGCGAGGCGUUAACUACAGAAGAAGCACCGGCUAACUCCGUGCCAGCAGCCGCGGUAAUUC
rnacentral:rRNA from 1 species